AAUGAACGCUGGCGGUGUGCUUAACACAUGCAAGUCGUACGAAAAAGCAAUUUUUAGUGGCGAACGGGUGAGUAACACGUGAGAAUCUACCCCUACGGUCGAGGAUAACAGGUAGAGAUAUCUGCUAAAACUCGAUAUGCUUUAUAAAAAGGUGAAAAAAGAAAUUUGCCUAGGGAGGAGCUCGCGCCUGAUUAGCUAGUUGGUAGGUAAUGGCCUACCAAGGCGAUGAUCAGUAGCUGGUCUGAGAGGAUGAUCAGCCACACUGGAACUGGGAUACGGUCCGGACGCCUACGGGAGGCAGCAGUGAGGAAUUUUCUGCAAUGGGCAAAAGCCUGACAGAGCAACACCGCGUGAGGGAUGACGGCCUUCGGGUUGUAAACCUCUUUUCUCAAGGAUGAAGAUCUGACGCAACUUGAGGAAUAAGCAUCGGCUAACCCUGUGCCAGCCGCCGCCGUAA
rnacentral:rRNA from 1 species